rnacentral:lncRNA from 1 species
GGAUGUAGGCACUGCGAUGGAUACAGACCUGCAUCACGGUGCUGGGGACAGAGCAGAGAACAGCCAACACCCACUGCGGGGACUGUGGCUUUGUAGCCGAGACCUUCUAUCAUAACUGGAUCCUUCUUCACUCAGAACGGGUUUUCUCAGAGAAGCCUCUUCUGUCCCUCUGCAAGGAGAUGUGCAGAUGCUGUGAAGGCCUGAGGGAAACUGAAAAUGUUGGCUUUGCUGCUGACUUGAACAUCGACUCCACGUGGAAUCCCAACGCCGUCAGUCACUUACAACCUCCUGAAAUGGACACUUGCCCUUAAAUAAUGGAAUUGUGUUGCGUAAAUGCUUUUGUGCCCCUGAACUCAACUGAGUUAAGUAUGAUGUGUAAAGAAUUCUACAAAACCGUGCAGUUAACAAAUGAUGUUACAGCUUAGUAUCGGUGCUUAGAAAGCUUUGAGAGUUUUUAUUUUCAUAUUUUAAAUUCUUAACGAUCCCUCCCUCUUUCUUAUUAAAACAUU